GGUAAAAAAUGUUAUGUCGGGGAGACUGGAGAUAUAUAUAGGAAGCCAGAAACUAAGGGCGAGUAAGCGAUAAUUUAGCAUCACUUUCUGCACCAACGCGAGUUGCUUCGCUUUCAAGAAGAUCACUUCUAUCAGAAUGAAGGCAGUGCUGGUUCUGUUUUCUGUCAUGGCUACGACCUUUGCCUCUGACCUCUCACUUCCUGUGGCUAAGAACAACGUAGCUGACGACUACGGAAAGUUUGGCCUUUGGUAAAUGGAGAUAACUUGUUUGGAAACAAGGCCAACUACGCCCCUGGCUUCGGCAAUUACUUCCCUGGUUACGGUUCCAAAAGGGAGACUACUAUCCAGGCGGAUAUGAUGGUUUCGGAUACAACAACGGUUACGGAAAAGGCUACAACGGCUAUUAUCCUGGUCUUGCUACCCUGGCUACGGUCAGAAAGAUGGCACUUACAUCUAAAAAUGCGCAGAAACGAACAAUACAGGCCAUAAUAUCAUGAGAGCUAGAAGAGAACGUCGCUUUUUUCCAAAUAAACAACUUUUUUUAUUUAA